UUGAGGUCAAGGCUCCCUGAUUCGUAGGUUUGCAGGAGGCUGCAGUCAGGCCCGCGCCAGAACCAUGUUUCGCAACCAGUAUGACAAUGAUGUUACUGUUUGGAGCCCUCAGGGCAGGAUUCAUCAAAUUGAAUAUGCAAUGGAAGCUGUUAAACAAGGUUCAGCCACAGUUGGUCUUAAGUCAAAAACCCAUGCAGUGUUGGUAGCUUUGAAAAGGGCACAGUCGGAGCUUGCAGCUCAUCAGAAAAAAAUUCUCCAUGUUGACAACCAUAUUGGUAUCUCAAUUGCGGAGCUUACUGUUGAUGCUAGACUGUUGUGUAAUUUUAUGCGCCAGGAGUGUUUGGAUUCCAGAUUUGUAUUUGACAGACCACUUCCUGUGUCUCAUCUUGUAUCUCUAAUCGGAAGCAAGACCCAGAUACCAACACAACGAUAUGGCCGGAGACCAUAUGGUGUUGGGCUACUUAUUGCUGGUUAUGAUGAUAUGGGCCCUCACAUUUUCCAAACCUGUCCAUCUGCUAACUACUUUGACUGCCGAGCUAUGUCCAUUGGAGCCCGUUCCCAGUCAGCUCGUACUUACUUGGAGAGACAUAUGUCUGAAUUUAUGGAGUGCAAUUUAAAUGAACUGGUUAAACAUGGUCUGCGUGCCUUAAGAGAGACACUUCCUGCAGAGCAGGACCUAACUACAAAGAAUGUUUCCAUUGGAAUUGUUGGUAAAGACUUGGAGUUUACAAUCUAUGAUGAUGAUGAUGUGUCUCCAUUCCUGGAAGGUCUAGAAGAAAGACCACAGAGAGAGGCACAGCCUGCUCAACCUGCUGAUGAACCUGCAGAAAAAGCUGAUGAACCAAUGGAACAUUAAGUGAUAAACCAUUUUAUAUGUGCAUUAUCAAAUAUGUAAAAAUGCAGGAACACAUACUGAUGACAGUAAUCUAUACUUUGAACCAAAAGUUGCAGAGUAGUGGAAUGGUAUAUGUUUUAGGAAUCAGUCCAGAAGUGAGUUGUUUCCAAGCAGCCUCACUGAUGCCAUAUAAUGGGGUACGUUUUUCUUUGAGAGGGUCUAUGUAAUCAUUCUCUAGAAAGUGUAGGUAUCUGUACUAAUGUUUUUAUAUGAAGAAAAUAGUGUCUUUGUGGUUUUAAAGACAACUGUGAAAUAAAAUUAUUUCACCUCCU